rnacentral:rRNA from 1 species
AUAUUCUGUAGCAAGGUUAACCGCAUAGGGGAGCCGGAGGGAAACCGAGUCUUAACCGGGCGUUAAGUUGCAGGGUAUAGACCCGAAACCCGGUGAUCUAGCCAUGGGCAGGUUGAAGGUUGGGUAACACUAACUGGAGGACCGAACCGACUAAUGUUGAAAAAUUAGCGGAUGACCUGUGGCUGGGGGUGAAAGGCCAAUCAAACCGGGAGAUAGCUGGUUCUCCCCGAAAGCUAUUUAGGUAGCGCCUCGUGAAUUCAUCUCCGGGGGUAGAGCACUGUUUCGGCUAGGGGGCCAUCCCGGCUUACCAACCCGAUGCAAACUGCGAAUACCGGAGAAUGUUAUCACGGGAGACACACGGCGGGUGCUAACGUCCGUCGUGAAGAGGGAAACAACCCAGACCGCCAGCUAAGGUCCCAAAGUCAUGGUUAAGUGGGAAACGAUGUGGGAAGGCCCAGACAGCCAGGAUGUUGGCUUAGAAGCAGCCAUCAUUUAAAGAAAGCGUAAUAGCUCACUGGUCGAGUCGGCCUGCGCGGAAGAUGUAACGGGGCUAAACCAUGCACCGAAGCUGCGGCAGCGACGCUUAUGCGUUGUUGGGUAGGGGAGCGUUCUGUAAGCCUG